rnacentral:tRNA from 1 species
GUCAGGAUGGCCGAGCGGUCUAAGGCGCCAGACUCAAGUGUUACAACUUGUUCUGUUCAAACAGAAUACGUGCUGUGAGCGUUCUGGUCCUCUCUGAGGGCGUGGGUUCAAAUCCCACUCCUGACA